GUUGGUGCGGCGAAUUUAUUUCACUUUGCCUAAGGAACGGGGUGUGCUACGGCGCCCAUUGCCUAGGGAAAAAACCCGGAUGUAAAAGAACUGAUGAGAUGGAAGUUGCAGAUGACCAAGUUUACUGAAAAUGGGUGCUGUGAGUGAAAGAAAGAGGAAUGGAUUAAAUUUAAAAUGACACUACUUCAGCCAUCUCAGCAUCUGGGUUGGUGGACAAAACUAGAGGACCGGUGUUUCUGGGGGCACGUGUCAGGAAGCACUGAUCUGGUGACUUUUGGAGGAAAAAGCUGGCUUACUCGGGUCCAGUCAUCAUGGUCCAUUUACUGUUUUGUUGUACCUCCAGAAUUGUCUCUCUUUUCUAUUUCUCCCAAAAAUAGGAUUUCUCCUCUUUACAAAUGUCACAGAAGGAAGCUCUAAAGAGUGAUUUCCAGCAUCCAUACAAGUGAAAAGUUCAGCUCCCAAGAGGAGCAGACAACGUCCGCAAAGCAAACCAAGCAAGACCCAUGGGGCCAAGGCAUUAAGUGGUUUCUCAGGGUGGUGGAACGUGGCUGCUUCCCUGCUUCUCCCAGAGAAGCUUUAAAUGUGCAGUUUUCCAGGGAGCAGAGUCAGCCAAGAAACCACUUAGGGGACAAAUUCCUCAUCUCACCUUCUUUCCCUCACCUCUGAAGCUAGUGUUAAGACAAACCCACCCUAGGAGACACUUUGAAGGAUGAAGGAGGACCCCAAAGCUCCGUGACAUCCUCCAGCUCCAGGAAGAUGACUCCAUCUCGCGGUAAGGCAGCCGGGACUGCACUUGUCUGAACCUAUGUCCUUGAGGCUCAGCCAAACCUCUCCUUCUGUGGCAGAGGGAUGUUUAGGUGACAUUCUUCUCCCUGCCACUCAGCAUCUUUUAAACAAUCCUCCUCCACCUGGGGAGAAUAUGCAUGAACUCACUGCAGUCUGGGACCACGGAAGCUGAAAAUUGUCUUUCUCCCUGGGAGGGGAAUUGGUCACAAAGGGAAAAACCGACCUCCCCUGAAAAAUAAGAAUCUGGGGCCAGGCGCGGUGGCUCACACCUGUAAUCCCAGCACUUUGGGAGGCCGAGGCGGGCAGAUCACCUGAGGUCAGGAGUUAGGACUAGCUUAGCCAACAUGGUGAAACCCCAUCUCUACCAAAAAUACAAAACUUAGCCAGGCGUGGUGGCACAUGCCUGUAAUCCCAGCUACUCAGGAGGCUGAGGCAGGAGAAUCGCUUGAACUCAGGAGGCGGAGGUUUCAGUGAGCCGAAAUCGCACCACUGCAUUCCAGCCUGGGCGACAGAACAAGACUUCGUCUCCAUAAAAAAAGAAUCUGGGAUGACUGCAGGUUCUUUCAGGCAAAGUUCUUUUGCUUGCCAUGGUAGAAAUCCACGUCAAGUGGAAUUAGUGAAGGAGGGACCUCGUUGGAAGUAUAUCAGGUAUGUUGCAGGGCAGGGGCAGUCGGCUUAGAAGGACCGGGUACCAAACCCUGGAAGAUGGACUCCCCAGGAAUCCUCAGAAGCAGCAACACCCCACGUUUGGCUGCUGUCAGCUGCACUUAAGUUUCCUCAGCCUGCUCGCCCCAGCCUCGGGGGCCUGUGGCGGGAGGGGAGGAGGUUGGCACAGCCCCUUGGCUCUGCAGCACACUGCCUGUAGUGCACCAUGAAUUAGUAUUUUUAAUAAAUCCUGUAAUUAUCU